rnacentral:ncRNA from 2 species
GCAAUUGCGCAUCCAGAUGGUUCCUCCCUUAGCCGGGAGGCGAAGAGGGAAGCCGGUGCAAAUCCGGUGCUGUGCCCGCAACUGUCAGUCGGGAGCCGACGGCCAAUAUGUCACUGGGAGCGAUCCCGGGAAGACGGCCCGAGGCGAUGAUCGACGAGCCAGGAGACCUGCCAUCGCGUCGUUCAUCCG